UAGACUCGACCGUCGUUCAUUCAUUUCUGGAUUCUUCCGCUCAAAUUACCAUAGCAAAGUCCCAAUUUCAAAACUUAAAGAAUCACUUCUCCAAAACCCUAACGUCAUGCGCAAAUUGAGCUUGCUUGGCCUCUGCCGGAGGCGCGUACUUUCCCCGUUCGCCGGAGAAUCGGUCACUGAUCACCGGAGACUUUGCCCGCUGACAGAGGCAUUGUGUCGAACACCUGGUUUGAGCUCUUCUUCUGGUUCGGUAGCUGGUUUCGCAACUUCGUUUGGGAAUCGUCAUUUCCACGCCUCAGGAUUUUGCUGUGCACCGCAACGAGACGACUAUGAAACUCUCGGCGUUUCGAAAAGCGCAGGCAAAUAUGAGAUUAAGAAGGCUUUUCGAACGCUGGCCAAGAAAUACCAUCCUGAUGCAAAUAGGAACAAUCCUUCUUAUAAGAGAAAAUUUCAGGAGAUAAGAGAAGCUUACGAGACAUUGCAAGAUCCUGAAAAGAGGGCAGAAUAUGACAUGAAGCAAUCAAGUGGGUAUACUGCUGGUGAUGCAGAAGAUUUUAGAUAUAAUUAUCAAACACACGGUUCUACAGCUGAUGCAGGGGGGUUCGGACAUGGUUUUAAACCUCACUUCUCCAGUUCAUUUCAUAAAAUAUUCUCAGAGAUAUUUGAACGUGAUUUCGAUCAAGUAGCACCUGACAUUCAGGUGGAGCUUUCACUCUCUUUUUCUGAAGCUGUUAGAGGAUGCACAAGGCAUAUGUCUGUCACUGCACAUGUUCCCUGUGAUUCUUGUGAUGGGCAUGGCUAUCCGCUAAAGGCCAAGACAAAAGUCUGUCCUAUUUGCAGAGGUAUUGGGAGAGUUACAAUUCCUCCAUUCACAUCAACAUGCAGCACUUGUAAAGGGUCUGGCCAAAUAAUCAGGGAUCAUUGUGUAUCAUGUGUAGGAUUAGGGAUAGUUGAAGGUGAAAGAGAGGUUGAAGUUAGCAUCCCAGCAGGUGUGGAUUCUGGAGAUACAAUCCGCGUACCAGAGGCUGGGAAUAGUGGGCCACGAGGAAGCCAACCAGGCUGGUUAUACAUCAAGCUAAAGGUUGCUAAAGAUCCUAUUUUCGCUAGGGAUGGUGCAGAUGUUUACGUGGAUUCUAAUAUCAGCUUUACUCGAGCUAUUCUUGGUGGUAAGGUUGAAGUGCCAACUUUAACUGGGAAGACAAAAGUAAAAAUACCAAAGGGGGUUCAACCUGGAGAACAGAUCGUGCUAAGAGGCAAAGGACUACCGAAGCAUGGUUUCCUAGUUCACAAUGGAGACCAAUAUGUUUGUUUCCGUGUCCAGUUUCCAACUAAAAUAAAUGAACGUCAACAUGCCAUAUUAGAAGAAUUUGCGAAGGAGGAAAUAAUUCAUGGAAACAGCAAUUCCCACAAUAAAGACUGAAUGACAUUGAUUCAAUGGAGACCCCAACCUCAGCUAUUUAAGCGGAACACAUAACCAUGUCAUUGUUUGCCUGGAUUUCGCUUCACCCAUUACAACCAGGGAGAACAUUUUUGAAGUUCCUGGUGCAGCCGUAUUGUCUUCUCUGUGGUUGAGUUGUUACAAGAUAGGAUGUAAACCCGUCCUAUUUUGUCUUUCCCCUGGUAAGUGGGUUCUGUAACCUGCUGCCCCUUAUCCAGAAAAAAAGGUCCACCCUUUGAUGCAUCAUGAUUCUGGAUUGAUGUUGAUAACAAAGUGGUGGUAGUCAGUCAAGUAAAUGCAUCAUAAAUACAAUCUUUGGCAAGUCUGAGUUGGUGGUUCACGUCAACAGCAGAGCAACAUGAGGCUUUAUCAGCAGCUAUCUACUGGUUGAACUUACAGGUUACAGUGGAUUACGGAACGUGUUACGGGUCCGAGAUUUGUGCUUGACUUGUCGAUAAUAGUAUUGAUCCUUUUGUUGCCGAGCAAAACCAUAGGCUGACUGUUGGCCCCAGGCGAUUCAAUCAAGAUACAUAAGCCAAUUGUCAUUGCGGUAGAGAUCUUCGGAGUUUUCCAUUCUUUGGAGUAUUGUUUGAUCAAAGGUACCGAUUUUCUCAUGACCAGUGAGUCUAUUCCCAUUUCCAAUCCAUAGUUCAUUGUCUGCGUUUAUCUUUUCCUUUUUCUUAGUCUACUACUAUCAUUUUACAAUGAUCUUCUAAGAAUUAUUGAGUAGAUGUGGCUACGUUAAGUUUAAGAAAUAAUGCUUGUCCUGUAGAAUUCUCUACAAGUGGUCACACUGAAUUUCACUUGAUUGUCAUGUAUUUUUUUUCCUCAAAGUACAAAUGAUUUGAUCAGGAUGCUAGAUAAAUUAGCAAUCUUUCAUUUCCCUUGGAAGCUUUGAGAUAUUUUGGUUAUCAAAUUUGCUUGAAUUCAUAAAAUUUGUGUAAUUGAAAGCUUAGACAUCAAGCUACAUGGUAUUUUCUUCAACUUUCUCAAGGCUACUUGAUUUUACAGUUUUGCAAGUGUAAGUGCUUUAGCAAUUUUUAUAUUUGCACAUAUAAGACUUCUGACAGAAAUAUUUUUCUAGAAACACAGUUUUACUGCCAUUGAUGUUGCAAAUUCAUGCAUGUUCAGUAGAUAGUGUUAGUAUCUGUAUCUGAUGUGGUAGUGGUGCUUUGUUCCUGGGUU